UACGAGUGCCCCAAGCGUUAUCCGGAAUUAUUGGGCGUAAAGGGUGUGUAGGUGGUCUAGUUAGUCUCAUGUCAAAUUCUUCGGCUUAACCGGGGUACCGCAUGGGAUACGGCUAGACUAGAGGAUGCGAGGGGUGAAUGGAACUCAUGGAGUAGGGGUGAAAUCCGUUGAUAUCAUGGGGAACACCAAAAGCGAAGGCAGUUCACUGGCGCGCUCCUGACACUGAAACACGAAAGCGUGGGUAGCGAAUGGG
rnacentral:rRNA from 1 species